rnacentral:rRNA from 1 species
UACGGAGGGUGCGAGCGUUGUCCGGAAUCAUUGGGCGUAAAGCGCACGUAGGCGGUCCGUUAAGUCUCAUAGGUGAAAGGCUGGGGCUCAACCCCAUGCAUGCCGGGGAUACUGGCGGACUGGAGACAGGUAGAGGCGAGCGGAAUUCCGGGUGUAGCGGUGGAAUGCGUAGAGAUCCGGAAGAACACCGGAGGCGAAGGCGGCUCGCUGGACCUGAUCUGACGCUGAGGUGCGAAAGCGUGGGGAGCGAACAGG